CCGCGCCCCAUCCCCGUCGUGUGUGCCUCGUGGUCUUCUCCAUCGAGACAGCAAGCCGCCUCUCUCCCAAUCCCCGCACGCGGCUGUCUCCCCAAUCCCCUCCCUCAUGGAUGGUAAUAGGCGAAGCCGCACCGCGUCGCAAGAGGGAUACUGGAGCGGCGAAAUCAGCUACGUCGACGAAUCGAGCGUGGCCGCAUCUCGUGUGGUCUUCCUCUUACGUCCCAGUCUGAAUCUCCUCAUGAACACGUGAGGGAGGUGAUACUGACGCGGGCGCCGCCGCAGUUCCCUUCCCUGGAAGCCUACAGCUCCACGGGUCCUGCUCGAUGGCCGUGCUUGUCGCGUGCCCGUGGGCUGGGCGCCUGAAGCAGGGCAAGGCAGAGCAUGCCGUGGCCUAUGAACUUUGCUAUUUUCAGGUAUCAGGAAAUGGAAUCACCUGAUGUUUGCAAGCCAUGCCCGACAUAAGAUUGUAUUUCUUGGUGUACUGUAACCGUAGAGGAUUGGUUGAUCAAGGACUCAUGUGACCAAGAGCAAUGGUGUUGUCGAGCUGCUGGACAAGUGAGAUAUUUUAUGUCUUCACAACCAUAUUGUCGAAUAUAACUUAUGGUAGAUCAUCUUUGUCUGAUAAAAUGUUGAAGAUAAAUAUGACUAGAAGGAGAAGAAGGACGUCCAAACCUUUUGGUGUAAAAGACUAUUGAUAGGAUGACAAUAGGAGGACAAGAGAUGCCGCAUUACCUCCCCGGCCUCUUCUUCGGCAAGGAUCUGCAGGUAGCGGCUUUUGAAGAGAACAACAGUCUUUGGACUGAGCUAACAUACGCCUGAGUCAAAGGAUUCAGUUCAUGCCUCUUAGUGUUGUUGUUUCAUUUAUGCUAGCUUCAUUAACAUGCAGCUAGAACAACAACAGAGGCACAAGCAUGAUGAAGACACUCGAGAGACCUGCAAUAACUCUCUUAUGUCUCCUCCGGCGCCCCAAACAUGCAGCUAGAACAACAACAGAGAUACAAGCAUGAUGAAGACACUUGAGAGACCUGCAAUAAGUGUGUGAACCUUGGUGGAGACGAGAUAAUGGUAGUGUGAUUUAGAUUUGAGGAAACACCAUGUGACUUGCUUCUCUUCAGUAGAUGUUUAUGCAUGAUAUUCUCUGCGAAAACUUGAAUUUUUUUAUGGUUUGAGUUAAUUGAUGGUAGAUUCCUAUUUUUGUACAUAUGUUUAUUAUGCACUUACCGUUUACUCAUGAUAUAGUUUUAACUCUCAAGCAUUGUUAAUAUAGUGUUCGGAGAAGAUGAGAAAGGAUCAUUUCUCUUAAAUGUUUCACCAAGGUACAUGGGUGCAACUUUGUUGUAUUGAACAUGAUUCAUUUGCAUUGGUUUAUCUUUGGGUGAUGCAGGCCCUAAUCAUAUUUACAUUUCCUUUCCGUUGUCGCUUUUAAAGACCAUGCUGCGAUGGCCGACAAUGCAUUGCCUAUGUAGAUGAUAAUUUUAGCGUUCCUUGCUUUUGUUGCUCUCGGCAAAAUCAACAACUGUUAAUUUCUAUAUUAUAUAUAUUCCUCUGGUUAUUUACUGUGGUUUGUGAUGAUUUGUAAAACCUAAAAAUUAUUAGCAUUUCCCUAUCUAUACAUGGGUCUUACGGGAUCAUGUGCCAAGGCGGACCCAAUCUGUAUUUUUUUUCUUUAGGUAGCGGCUUUUGAAGAUAACAGAAGUCUAUGGACUGAGCUAACAUACAUAUGAGUCAAAGGAUUCAUGCCUCUUACUAUUGGUUUUUCAUUUAUGUUGGCUUUAUUAACGAGAAUCAGUAAUGUAUUAUUUUCAUCAUCUUCUGUACAAUAGAUGUUGAUGAUUCAUCUUCAGAUAUAUGUUUGUUUUUGGGACCAGACUACCAAUUCAAUAGGCUGUUAGAUGGACUGGAAACCAGAUAUGUUUUCUCUGCCAUUUCAGGUCCAUUGCAUGCCUAAUGCUAUCUCCUUGUGGACCCAGGCAGGGAAAUAUCCUAGGAUGCAUCUUGCUGAAUUUAUCAAUUUUAUUCUAUUUGAAAACGUGGUAUGCUUCACCAAGCCUUCGACAUGUCAAAAAUACUCUGCUAUUUUGAUCAUACUUGCUAUUUUGAUUUAUCUGGGGUAGCUAUGAUCUAUUAUUAAUAUAUCCUGGUAUACGUGCUCCCCCUCUAGGUUAUGCUUGACAAUUAUGCAUCAUAUCAAUUUAUGUUAUCUCAGAUGUUGGAUUUUAUAAAUAGCGCUCUUAAUAGCCUUUGUGGAUGCCUGUCACCUAAUGCUUCUAACUAUUAGCGGUAAGGGUUAUUGCAUUUUUCUUAAGUUGGCCUUCAUAGUAAUAUGCUUUCUCCAUAAAGAGAAAAAUAUAGGUAGUACUGCUGACCUCAAAAUAGAAAUUAGCUUUCCUAGGUACUUUAUCUUUUAACCUUUCCACUUGGUAGGAAUAUUUUGUUCAGGGUUCAGAGAUGGUUCUUCAUUCUUGGCUUGGGUUGAACUUGCUCUUUGUUAUUAGGCUGCUUCUUUUAGGGUUAAUGUGUGAGUUCCUCUUUUCAAUUUAGUACAUCCACCCUGUGUGUAAAUGUUUUAUUUAUUUGUUGUCUGUUCUCUUCCUUUAACUCAUCUCUAGCAUGAAGAGCUUGCUCGCCACUAUUGCUUCCAGUUAGGAUGGAGCAUUUGGGUUGUUAUGCAUGUAUGAUUGUUUUCUCUUUAUGUUGUGCAUUUCAACUGUGGUAGUUUGGAGUGUGCUCGUUUAUUUAGCUGCAUAUACUUGGCAGGUUAUGAAAGUACUUAAAUAUAUUCUUCAAAAUCAAGAUCUGGGCAUGCUUCUUUUGCUUGUAUCAGCACACAUUUGUUCUAAUUAUAUUUUGUUGUGCUUUCUACUGCUUUUAGUGCAGUUUAAUUUCAUAGAAAGUAAGCACAGUUAAGCAUGUUAACCUCUUCUUUUUCUUAGAUGCAUCUUACAUCACUACAAAAUAUGAUAUGGUGUCGAGUGUUGCUCUG